rnacentral:rRNA from 1 species
AACAGGAUUAGAUACCCUGGUAGUCCACGCCCUAAACGAUGUCUACUAGUUGUCGGGUCUUAAUUGACUUGGUAACGCAGCUAACGCGUGAAGUAGACCGCCUGGGGAGUACGGUCGCAAGAUUAAAACUCAAAGGAAUUGACGGGGACCCGCACAAGCGGUGGAUGAUGUGGAUUAAUUCGAUGCAACGCGAAAAACCUUACCUACCCUUGACAUGGAUGGAAUCCCGAAGAGAUUUGGGAGUGCUCGAAAGAGAACCAUCACACAGGUGCUGCAUGGCUGUCGUCAGCUCGUGUCGUGAGAUGUUGGGUUAAGUCCCGCAACGAGCGCAACCCUUGUCAUUAGUUGCUACGAAAGGGCACUCUAAUGAGACUGCCGGUGACAAACCGGAGGAAGGUGGGGAUGACGUCAAGUCCUCAUGGCCCUUAUGGGUAGGGCUUCACACGUCAUACAAUGGUACAUACAGAGGGCCGCCAACCCGCGAGGGGGAGCUAAUCCCAGAAAGUGUAUCGUAGUCCGGAUUGGAGUCUGCAACUCGACUCCAUGAAGUUGGAAUCGCUAGUAAUCGCGGAUCAGCAUGUCGCGGUGAAUACGUUCCCGGGUCUUGUACACACCGCCCGUCACACCAUGGGAGCGGGUUUUACCAGAAGUGGGUAGCCUAACCGUAAGGAGGGCGCUCACCACGGUAGGAUUCGUGACUGGGGUGAAGUCGUAACAAGGUAACC